ACGCUCGACACCUACUGGAGGCAGCAGUCGGGAAUAUUGCGCAAUGGAGGAAACUCUGACGCAGUGACGCCGCGUAUGGGAAGAAGGUUUUCGGAUUGUAAACCAUUUUAGACGAGGAAGAAACAAGACAGUACUUGUAGAAUAAGCUCCGGCUAACUACGUGCCUGCAGCCGCGGUAAUCUGAGCGGGCUGGCAAGGC
rnacentral:rRNA from 1 species